CCUCCCCAGUAGCUGGGACUACAGGAGCCCGCCACCUCGCCCGGCUAAUUUUUUGUAUUUUUAGUAGAGACGGGGUUUCACCGUGUUAGCCAGGAUGGUCUUGAUCUCCUGACCUCGUGAUCCGCGCGCCUCGGUCUCCCAAAAUGCUGGGAUUACAGGCGUGUGCCACCGCGCCUGGCCUCAUCUCUUAAUUCGAGUAAUUUUACAUAAGCAACAAUGGGGUAAGGAGGAGAAAAGAAAGAAGGAAAAAUUGGAAAGAUAAAUGGGGUCUUUCCAGUGAAGCCUCCAGGCCUCCAGACUGGAACUUAUACCACUGAUUCUUCUGAAUCUUAGGCCUUUGGACUUGGACUGGAACUAAACCAUCAGCUCUUCUUGUUCUACCACUUGCAGACUGUAUGUCUUGGGACAUGUCAGCCUCUGUAAUCACAUCAACCCUACUCUGAGCCUCCAG
rnacentral:lncRNA from 1 species